rnacentral:rRNA from 1 species
GACGAACGCUGGCGGCGUGCUUAACACAUGCAAGUCGAACGGAAAGGCCCUGCUUUUGUGGGGUGCUCGAGUGGCGAACGGGUGAGUAACACGCGAGUAACCUGCCCCUGACUUUGGGAGAUCUUCAGGAAACUGGGGCGAAUACCGGAUAGGAGCUCCUGCUGCAUGGUGGGGGUUGGAAAAUUUCGGCGGUGGGGGAUGGACUCGCGGCUUAUCAGCUUGUUGGUGGGGUAGUGACUUACCAAGGCUUCGACGGGUAGCCGGCAUGAGAGGGUGAACAGCCACAUUGGGACUGAGAUACGGACCAGAAUGCUACGGGAGGCAGUGGUGGGAAAUAUUGCACAAUGGGGGGAAGCCUGAUGCAGAAACGCCGGGUGCGGGAUAACGGCCUUCGAGUUGUAAACCGCUUUCGCCUGUGACGAAGCGUGAGUGACGGUAAUGGAUAAAGAAGCACCAGCUAACUACGUG